GAUAUUUGCCCUUUGCCAAAUGGAGAAUGAAAACAGGCUAAUGAGACCUGGGUGAGCAACUGCCAGGAUUGUGUAUGUGACCCAUACAGUCUGGAAAUCCAGUGCCAGCCGGUGGCAUGCCAACAUCAGCCUCCUCUCACCUGUGAUCAGGAGGGCCAAGUUAAGGUCGUAGAAACCGUUGACUGUUGUCAAAAGGACAAAUGCGAGUGUGAUGUCACACGAUGCUCUACUUCUAAGAUAACUUGUCCAGUCGGAUUCGAGACAGAGGCAACUAUGGGAGUCUGCUGCCCAACAUAUCAAUGCAUGCCAAAGGAUGUCUGUGUGUUUAACAACACUGAAUAUCAGAUGAGA